rnacentral:rRNA from 1 species
CCUACGGGAGGCAGCAGUGGGGAAUAUUGCACAAUGGGGGAACCCCUGAUGCAGCGACGUCGCGUGAGUGAAGAAGUAACUCUUGAUGGAAAGCCCCAUUAGCAGGGAAGAAAAUGACGGUACGUGUGUACGAACCCACGGUUAAUUACGUGCCAGCAUCCGCUGGCAUCCGGAGGGAGCAAGCGUUAUCCGGAUUUACUGGGGUUAAAGGGAGCGUUGACGGGAAUGCAAGGUUGGAGGGAAAGGUGGGGGGUCAACCCCCGGAGUGCUGUGGAAACUGGCCGGCUGGAGUGAAGGAGAGGUAAGUGGAAUUCCUGGUGUAGCGGUGAAAUGCAUAGAUAUUAGGAAGAACUCCGAUGGCGAAGGCAGCUUACUGGAGUGUAACUGACGUUGAGGCUCGAAAGCGUGGGGAGUGAACAGGAUUAGAUACCCGAGUAGUC